rnacentral:rRNA from 1 species
UUAGGGUGCGAGCGUUAAUCCGAAUUACUGGGCGUAAAGCGUGCGCACGCGGUUUUAUAAGCCAGAUGUGAAAGCCCCGGGCUCAACCUGGGAAUGGCAUUUGGGACUGUAAGGCUGGAGUAUGGCAGAGGAGACUAGAAUUCCUGGUGUAGCACUGAAAUGCGUAGAUAUCAGGGGGAAUACCGAUGGCGAAGGCAGGUCUCUGGGCCAAUACUGACGCUCAUGCACGAAAGCGUGGGGAGCAAACAGGAUUAGAUACCCUGGUAGUCCACGCCCUAAACGAUGUCAACUGGUUGUUGGGGGAUUUAUUCUCUUAGUAACGAAGCUAACGCGUGAAGUUGACCGCCUGGGGAGUACGGUCGCAAGAUUA